UUGGAUGGACUUUAUAGCCUUUAACUGGGG
rnacentral:piRNA from 1 species